AGCACAGAGCCCGACGCGGGGCUCGAACUCACGGACCACGAGAUCAUGACCUGAGCCGAAAUCGGAUGCUUAACCGACUGAGCCCCCCAGGCACCCCGACACUCCUUUACAAAAGUGGAGCCUAAUUCUCUUCCCUAUCACUCGCUCUGGAGGAAGCCAGCUGAGAACACCCAAGGAGCCCAGGUGGCGAGGAACUAAAGCCUCCAGCCAAGAGCCAUGUGGGCGGGGCUUCUCCGGUCAUCACAAUUCCGUUUUGAGAGGCUCUCUCUCUGCCUGCCGUGUGGACAAUGGACGAAACGGCAGAGGUGAACGUACGCCCCCUUGGGAAGCAGCCACUGCAGUCAUCCACGACCUGAGGAGGGUGAGAGGUGCUGCCUGGUAUGUCUGGAAGGCUUCCUGAAAGAGGAGGCAUGGAUCAUGUGGCUUUGAAGAAGACAGAAGCCAGAGAUCUGAGAAGGGGGAGAAGAAUAAGAAUCUGGCGUAAUAUCAGGGAAGUCGUUCCUUCGUUCCUGGCCGCGCGGAGCCUGGUGGGCCAGGGUGAGUGCCAAGGGGACCCAAUGGACCGAAGUGCCUGACUUGUGUUCAGAUCUCCUGGUUGCUUGAGGAAGCAGAUUGCCAGAUAAGAUACAGGACACCCAGUUAAACCGGAAUAUCAGAUAGACAACGCAUGAUUUUUUUUAAGCCUAAGUAUAUCCCAAAUAAGGCAAUGGGACGUACUUAUGCUAAAAUAUUACUGUCCUUCUGGAAUUCAAAUUUAA